rnacentral:rRNA from 1 species
UACGGAGGAUGCAAGCGUUAUCCGGAAUGAUUGGGCGUAAAGCGUCCGCAGGUGGCAGUUCAAGUCUGCUGUCAAAGACCGGGGCUUAACUUCGGAAAGGCAGUGGAAACUGAACAGCUAGAGUAUGGUAGGGGCAGAGGGAAUUCCUGGUGUAGCGGUGAAAUGCGUAGAGAUCAGGAAGAACAUCGGUGGCGAAGGCGCUCUGCUGGACCAUAACUGACACUGAGGGACGAAAGCUAGGGGAGCGAAUGGG